rnacentral:rRNA from 1 species
AGAGUUUGAUCCUGGCUCAGAAUGAACGCUGGCGGCAGGCCUAACACAUGCAAGUCGAACGGAGUUAUAUUGUAGCUUGCUACGGUAUAACUUAGUGGCAGACGGGUGAGUAAUGUAUAGGAAUCUACCUAGUAGUACGGAAUAAUUGUUGGAAACGCCAACUAAUACCGUAUACGCCCUACGGGGGAAAAAUUUAUUGCUAUUAGAUGAGCCUACAUUCGAUUAGCUCGUUGGUGGAGUACUAGCCUACCAAUCCAAUGAUCUAUAGCUGCUUUGAGAGGAUGAUCAUCCACACUGGAACUGAGAUACGCGUCCAGACUCCGGUGGUGAGGCAGCAGUGGGGAAUUUUGGACAAUGGGUGAAAGCCUCAUCCAUCCUUGCCGCAUGUGUGAAGAAGGCCUUUGGGUUGUAAAGCUAUUUUAGUGCGGAAGAUAAUGACGGUACUCACAGAAGACGUCCUGGCUAACUCCGUGCCAGCAGCCGCGGUAAUACGGAGAGGGUUAGCGUUAUUCGGAAUUAUUGGGCGUAAAGGGCGCCUAGGCUGAUUAAUAAGUUAAAAGUGAAAUCCCGAGGCUUAACCUUGGAAUUGCUUUUAAAACUAUUAAUCUAGAGAUUGAAAGAGGAUAGAGGAAUUCCUGAUGUAGAGGUAAAAUUCGUAAAUAUUAGGAGGAACACCAGUGGCGAAGGCGUCUAUCUGGUUCAAAUCUGACGCUGAAGCGCGAAGGCGUGGGGAGCAAACAGGAUUAGAUACCCUGGUAGUCCACGCUGUAAACGAUGAAUGUUAAAUAUGGGAAGUUUACUUUCUGUAUUACAGCUAA